CUGACAUACAUUUCGAUAACAGGUUACUUAAACUUUCAAUUCAAGCUUAUGUUUGGAUUAGCAUGACUAACGAUUUGAUACAUUUGGAUGGAAACAUGAAGAUGAAAAACGAAGCAAGUUGCUAGAUUUUAACGGAAAUUAUUUAGAAGUAAUAUUAUAUUGAGAUUCUCAGCAAGAUUUUCCUGAUAAUAUUGGUUAGUGGUGGAAAUCCUACGAACGAUUCAUGGUUUCCCUCUCUUUUCUUUUCACAUUUUCCUUCUCUUUUCUUGUUUGAAUUUGUGAUCCAGUUGUGUUUGAAGUUCUCCACCUUGAAUGGACUGAAAAUGCUGAGGAAUCUCAGCCUCUCAGGCAAUUCUUUCACCGGCCGCCUCAUCCCUACCAUCGGAACGAUUACUUCUCUGCAGCAUUUGGAUCUGUAGGAAACCAGUUCUACGGUCCAAUCCCAGCCCGGCUCAUGGAGCUCUGGGGAGUCUUUUAAGGAUUGUUCAAUGCAGAUAUUUCAGAACUUGGAAAUAUUGGAUGUGAGUCAAAAUCAGAUCAGAGGGAAGCUUCCUUCAUUUCAUCCAUUGCUAUCCCUUCGGGUUUUAUGGGUUGGUAACAAUCUGCUAGAUGGAUCUAUACCACCUGAGCUCUUUGGGAGUUCUAUGCAGCUGGAAGAACUGGAUCUCAGCAGCAAUGGAUUUUCAGGUUGAGACGGCCCUUGGAGAGCAUCCUAAUCCGUCUCAAGUGGAGAAGGUGAAACUAAUCCUUGGGGAGCAUGAAAAAGAACUUAGCGAAGCACUUGAGAAGGUCGUUGGUGUAUUAGACGAUGGAAUCGCAUUGAUUUGCAAGGUGAUUAUAGCUGAAAUAGUCAUUACGUGGGGCUGUUGGACACUUUGAUGUAUACUAACUCCUUUUUGUACUAUAGCCCUGUUUGAUAGGUUGUGUCAAGGAUGAUUGGGUUUUUGUACCUCUGUUAUGUGGGUAAGAGCAAUUGGAGUCUUAUGGAAUGGAUCAACUGUACCUCUAUUAUGUGUUACUGAUGGCCGCCAUCCUGUGGCGACAUUGGACCGGAAUGGAUUGCGCCCCAGUCGCUUUUACAUUACACAUAGUGGACACGUGAUCAUGGCCAGUGAGGUUGGUGUUGGAGACAUCUUGCCAAAAGAUGUGGCUAGGAAAGGAAGACAUGUGAUCGGUCCAAAGGGACCUUACUGAAACAGUUCAUGCGGAAGGCUAGGAAAGGAAGACAUUU